GUCAGGUUGGUAUAAUUUUAAUUCGAUUUGGAUCGUAUUGGCAUAGUAUUUCACUUAGUUAGAACUAAGUCGGCAUAAUAGUUGUUCGACUAGAGUCGACUUUUACAGUAGAAAGUCGAGAUAUAGUUGGUACCGAGAUAUAGUUAAAAUUUUUGACUUUUACAGUGAAAGUCGAAAUAUAAUCGAUAUAUCAAUUUUUACAGUGAAAAAUCAAAAUAUAGUCGAUAAGAAUUGACCGUCCAUUAUCGGUCUAAAAUUACUUUAUAGUUGACCG
rnacentral:lncRNA from 1 species